AUUGAACGCUGGCGGCAGGCCUAACACAUGCAAGUCGAGCGGAGCGGCGGACGGGUGAGUGAUGCCUACGAAUCUGCCUGGUCUUGGGGGAUAAGGUCCGUAAACGGGAGCUAAUACCGCAUACUAUUAGAUGAGCCUAGGUCGGAUUAGCUAGUUGGUAUGGUAAAGGCCUACCAAGGCGACGAUCCGUAACUGGUCUGCGAGGAGGAUCAGUCACACUGGAACUGAGACACGGUCCAGACUCCUACGGGAGGCAGCAGUGGGGAAUCUUGCACAAUGGGCGAAAGCCUGAUCCAGCCAUGCCGCGUGUGUGAAGAAGGUCUUCGGAUCGUAAAGCACUUUAAGUUGGGAGGCGUUACCAACAGAAUAAGCACCGGCUAACUUCGUGCCAGCAGCCGCGGUAAUAC
rnacentral:rRNA from 1 species